GCUAGCAGUGAAAGAAGAAAUAGGAAUGCUGACUUUUUAAUACGUUAAUAGAGGUAGCAUGAAACUGGUGAAGUGAAUGAACCCAGUGAGAACAGACAGAGAACUGAAACAUGGCAAACUGCAUUGACCUGACGAGACAACGCAGAGGCAGUGGCAGACAGCCCUGAAGCAAUUAGCAGUAGUUUUGAAAACCACAUGCAGUGAGUGCAAAGGAGAAGAGCAGAAAGAUGGUUUGCUACAGGCUGCUCUAGAUGAACUGCAAGUUCUCCUUUCCCUGCAGCUGUGGAGCAUAGUGCAAAGGAGAACAGAGGGAGUCUUUGCACCUCUGAUACAGCAGGCUGCUGUUUGUUUUGGCUGACAUUUUCCUGCUGCACUGAACAGGAAUGGAGCAGGUAAAUGCUUCGUGACUACAGAAAGCGCCUGCAGACCUUGCACCCUUGUGCUGUGUCUCUCAAGCAUCUCAGUUGUCAUCUCCUGCAAAAUGAUGUCACGUUGUGGUGGGAAUGGGUACUGCUCUGUGCAGAGGGCUUUAUGUUUUUUCUAGUAGUUCUCUUUGAAUAAAGUAUAACUUAACACUA